GGGCAGGGCAAAGAUAAGAGCGCGGAAAGCUGGGUAGUGGUUGAUGUUGAUGGAGGCGGGGUACCGAGAGGGAGGCAUUUGUGACCGCAGCUGGUUUGGGGGGCUGGCUCUUAAGAUGACCCUUGCUCAGUUGAAAGCAGCCUGGAAGAACGUAGCCUUCGGAAGCAGAUCUUAGAGUUGGAAUCCCUCUUGGUGUGUACAGGUUGCAUGGCCCUGAGCAAGUCAUUUAAUUUUUCUGCAUGCAUCCUGAUUAUUUUUCAUUUGGCAACUGGGAGUAACAACAGUAGUUAAUGAGAAGUUUAAAUAAUUCUGGUAAACACUAACAGUGCCUGGCACUCAGUAGGCGUUCAAUCAAGACUGGUUCCCCAUCCACUUACCCAUUGGUUUGUGGAACU
rnacentral:lncRNA from 1 species